rnacentral:misc_RNA from 1 species
CAGGGUUUUGCUUUUUGAUUAUGAGAACUCAUAUCCUUGGAGCAAGAGUGAUUCAGUUCAUCAGCAUCCCUUGGUCUCUAUAGUUCAUAACUGGGAACAAGUAGAGGAACGACUAAUAUCGUUGAUUUCUUAGUUUUAAAUGAUUUCAGAACAAUUCGCAAAAGUAUCAUCUAUUCGUUGAUAUGCUAUAAUUGAUUCUUAUGCCUGGAACAUUGAAAUGCAUGCUGCCGACGAAGCUGACCUUAUGGUGUAGACUGUAGAGGCUUUUGGGAAUACAACUGUAAGGAGACCAGCGAAAUAAGCUUCUGGUGAAUGAGCAAUAGCAGCAUCUGAAUUAUAGUAUUAGUAGUGAAGUGACGAUCUUGUAUAUUUUUCUUACUUUUGAGGCAUGUUGAGGAGAUUUAGGACACUUGCCAAUGGACAGAAUACCAUGUGGCCC